UACGUAGGGUGCAAGCGUUAAUCGGAAUUACUGGGCGUAAAGCGUGCGCAGGCGGUUGUGCAAGACCGAUGUGAAAUCCCCGGGCUUAACCUGGGAAUGGCAUUGGUGACUGCACGGCUAGAGUGUGUCAGAGGGGGGUAGAAUUCCACGUGUAGCAGUGAAAUGCGUAGAGAUGUGGAGGAAUACCGAUGGCGAAGGCAGCCCCCCUGGGAUAACACUGACGCUCAU
rnacentral:rRNA from 1 species